rnacentral:rRNA from 1 species
UACAGAGGGUGCAAGCGUUGCUCGGAAUUACUGGGCGUAAAGCGUGUGUAGGCGGUCCAUCAAGUGGGGUGUGAAAUCCCUAGGCUCAACCUAGGAACUGCGCCCCAAACUGAUGGACUUGAGUGUCGGAGAGGAUAGUGGAAUUCCCAGUGUAGAGGUGAAAUUCGUAGAUAUUGGGAGGAACACCAGUGGCGAAGGCGGCUAUCUGGACGAACACUGACGCUGAGACACGAAAGCGUGGGGAGCAAACAGG